GAUUCCGUGACGCAGCUAACGCAUUAAGUUCCCCGCCUGGGGAGUACGGCCGCAAGGCUAAAACUCAAAGGAAUUGACGGGGACCCGCACAAGCGGCGGAGCAUGCGGAUUAAUUCGAUGCAACGCGAAGAACCUUACCAAGGCUUGACAUAUACGAGAACGGGCCAGAAAUGGUCAACUCUUUGGACACUCGUAAACAGGUGGUGCAUGGUUGUCGUCAGCUCGUGUCGUGAGAUGUUGGGUUAAGUCCCGCAACGAGCGCAACCCUCGUUCUAUGUUGCCAGCACGUAAUGGUGGGAACUCAUGGGAUACUGCCGGGGUCAACUCGGAGGAAGGUGGGGAUGACGUCAAAUCAUCAUGCCCCUUAUGUCUUGGGCUUCACGCAUGCUACAAUGGCCGGUACAAAGGGCUGCAAUACCGUGAGGUGGAGCGAAUCCCAAAAAGCCGGUCCCAGUUCGGAUUGAGGUCUGCAACUCGACCUCAUGAAGUCGGAGUCGCUAGUAAUCGCAGAUCAGCAACGCUGCGGUGAAUAC
rnacentral:rRNA from 1 species